GGGGACUGCAGGGCCAGCGGCCGGUGGCCCUUCCCUGCACAGGAUGUACUCCUGAGGCUCCGGUUCCCCCUCCCGCUCCGCGCAGUGACUAAACCACCCUGAGCCAGCAGUAAGAGGAAAAACGAGAGGACGGGCCAGCUCAAGACUGACCGAUGGACCUGCUUGUCUGAGGAGACCUACAGGAUGCAAAUGACUGUGGAUGAAUGAAACAACCCAGUAGAGAACUGAGAAAUGCGGAGAAGAGUCAGCAGUCUUUAAGUACAGGAAACCUGUACAGCCUUCCUGAUAAUCAGAGAUUCCAGGGCUGGGGAGCAUACGUGGAACCGGGUUCUCUCAUACACCAUUGUUGGGACUGCAUCUUGGCGCAGCCUUUUAGAGUUCAGCCUGCCAGCAUUUGCCAAGAUACAAAAGCCUCAUACUUUCGGCCCACAGCCAUAUUCCAAGCUAGACACGGUGUUCUAGCACUGAGCUGGCCUGCAAAAGCAGAGAGAAGCAAAUUGCACCAAAAGCAAAUGCAAGGAAAAGGGACUGGUGAUAAAAGUUCUCAUGUGAUUCCACAAGGCUGGUGAAAGGCAGCCUUUUCGAGCUGGGCGGAAGAAGAUGAUCAAGCCAGCUGCAGCACAC
rnacentral:lncRNA from 1 species